GACGAACGCUGGCGGCGUGCCUAAUACAUGCAAGUGGGACGCAAGGACACACACUGUGCUUGCACACCGUGUUUUCUUGAGUCGCGAACGGGUGAGUAACGCGUAGGUAACCUGCCUAUUAGCGGGGGAUAACUAUUGGAAACGAUAGCUAAUACCGCAUAAUAUUAAUUAUUGCAUGAUAAUUGAUUGAAAGAUGCAAGCGCAUCACUAGUAGAUGGACCUGCGUUGUAUUAGCUAGUUGGUAAGGUAAGAGCUUACCAAGGCGACGAUACAUAGCCGACCUGAGAGGGUGAUCGGCCACACUGGGACUGAGACACGGCCCAGACUCCUACGGGAGGCAGCAGUAGGGAAUCUUCGGCAAUGGACGAAAGUCUGACCGAGCAACGCCGCGUGAGUGAAGAAGGUUUUCGGAUCGUAAAGCUCUGUUGUAAGUCAAGAACGAGUGUGAGAGUGGAAAGUGCAGACAGUGACGGUAGCUUACCAGAAAGGGACGGCUAACUACGU
rnacentral:rRNA from 1 species